rnacentral:tRNA from 1 species
GGGAAUAUAGUUUAAUGGUAGAGCACUUGCCUAGAAAGUAUGAGGCCCUGGGCUUGAUCCCCAGUAAUACCC